AUUGAACGCUGGCGGAAUGCUUUACACAUGCAAGUCGAACGGCAGCACGGGGGCAACCCUGGUGGCGAGUGGCGAACGGGUGAGUAAUACAUCGGAACGUGCCCGGUCGUGGGGGAUAACGUAGCGAAAGUUACGCUAAUACCGCAUACGAUCUGAGGAUGAAAGCGGGGGACCUUCGGGCCUCGCGCGAUCGGAGCGGCCGAUGUCAGAUUAGGUAGUUGGUGGGGUAAAGGCCUACCAAGCCGACGAUCUGUAGCUGGUCUGAGAGGACGACCAGCCACACUGGGACUGCGACACGGCCCAGACUCCUACGGGAGGCAGCAGUGGGGAAUUUUGGACAAUGGGCGCAAGCCUGAUCCAGCCAUUCCGCGUGCAGGACGAAGGCCUUCGGGUUGUAAACUGCUUUUGUAUGGAACGAAAAGGCUCUGGCUAAUACCUGGGGCUCAUGACGGUACCGUAAGAAUAAGCACCGGCUAACUACGUG
rnacentral:rRNA from 1 species